rnacentral:rRNA from 1 species
AACGCUGGCGGCGUGCUUAACACAUGCAAGUCGAACGGAAAGGCCCUGCUUUUGUGGGGUGCUCGAGUGGCGAACGGGUGAGUAACACGUGAGUAACCUGCCCUUGACUUUGGGAUAACUUCAGGAAACUGGGGCUAAUACCGGAUAGGAGCUCCUGCUGCAUGGUGGGGGUUGGAAAGUUUCGGCGGUUGGGGAUGGACUCGCGGCUUAUCAGCUUGUUGGUGGGGUAGUGGCUUACCAAGGCUUUGACGGGUAGCCGGCCUGAGAGGGUGACCGGCCACAUUGGGACUGAGAUACGGCCCAGACUCCUACGGGAGGCAGCAGUGGGGAAUAUUGCACAAUGGGCGGAAGCCUGAUGCAGCAACGCCGCGUGCGGGAUGACGGCCUUCGGGUUGUAAACCGCUUUCGCCUGUGACGAAGCGUGAGUGACGGUAAUGGGUAAAGAAGCACCGGCUAACUACGUGCCAGCAGCCGCGGUGAUACGUAGGGUGCGAGCGUUGUCCGGAUUUAUUGGGCGUAAAGGGCUCGUAGGUGGUUGAUCGCGUCGGAAGUGUAAUCUUGGGGCUUAACCCUGAGCGUGCUUUCGAUACGGGUUGACUUGAGGAAGGUAGGGGAGAAUGGAAUUCCUGGUGGAGCGGUGGAAUGCGCAGAUAUCAGGAGGAACACCAGUGGCGAAGGCGGUUCUCUGGGCCUUUCCUGACGCUGAGGAGCGAAAGCGUGGGGAGCGAACAGGCUUAGAUACCCUGGUAGUCCACGCUGUAAACGGUGGGUACUAGGUGUGGGGUCCAUUCCACGGGUUCCGUGCCGUAGCUAACGCUUUAAGUACCCCGCCUGGGGAGUACGGCCGCAAGGCUAAAACUCAAAGGAAUUGACGGGGCCCCGCACAAGCGGCGGAGCAUGCGGAUUAAUUCGAUGCAACGCGUAGAACCUUACCUGGGUUUGACAUGGAUCGGGAGUGCUCAGAGAUGGGUGUGCCUCUUUUGGGGUCGGUUCACAGGUGGUGCAUGGCUGUCGUCAGCUCGUGUCGUGAGAUGUUGGGUUAAGUCCCGCAACGAGCGCAACCCUUGUUCACUGUUGCCAGCACGUUAUGGUGGGGACUCAGUGGAGACCGCCGGGGUCAACUCGGAGGAAGGUGGGGAUGACGUCAAGUCAUCAUGCCCCUUAUGUCCAGGGCUUCACGCAUGCUACAAUGGCUGGUACAGAGAGUGGCGAGCCUGUGAGGGUGAGCGAAUCUCGGAAAGCCGGUCUCAGUUCGGAUUGGGGUCUGCAACUCGACCUCAUGAAGUCGGAGUCGCUAGUAAUCGCAGAUCAGCAACGCUGCGGUGAAUACGUUCCCGGGGCUUGUACACACCGCCCGUCAAGUCAUGAAAGUUGGUAACACCCGAAGCCGGUGGCCUAACCGUUGUGGGGGAGCCGUCGAAGGUGGGACUGGUGAUUAGGA